CCCUUAGAUGUUCUGGGCCGCACGCGCGCUACACUGAUGCAUGCAACAAGUCUUUUCCUUGGCCGAGAGGCCUGGGCAAUCUUUGAAUGUGCAUCGUGAUGGGGAUAGACGAUUGCAAUUAUUCGUCUUCAACGAGGAAUUCCUAGUAAACGCAAGUCAUCAGCUUGCAUUGAUUACGUCCCUGCCCUUUGUACACACCGCCCGUCGCACCUACCGAUUGAAUGGUCCGGUGAAGGCUUCGGAGGCGGCUUUCUCAAUGUUUAUUCGGCGAGACUGCUGCCAAAGUUGAAUGAACCUUACCAUUUAGAGGAAGGUGAAGUCGUAACA
rnacentral:rRNA from 1 species